rnacentral:rRNA from 1 species
CCUACGGGGGGCAGCAGUGGGGAAUAUUGGGCAAUGGGCGCAAGCCUGACCCAGCAACGCCGCGUGAGGGAAGAAGUCUUUCGGGUUGUAAACUUCUUUUCUCAGGGACGAAGAAAGUGACGGUACCUGAGGAAUAAGCCACGGCUAACUACGUGCCAGCAGCCGCGGUAAUACGUAGGUGGCAAGCGUUAUCCGGAUUUACUGGGUGUAAAGGGCGUGUAGGCGGGACUGCAAGUCAGAUGUGAAAGCCACGGGCUCAACCUGUGGCCUGCAUUGGAAACUGUAGUUCUUGAGUGCUGGAGAGGUAGGCGGAAUUCCUAGUGUAGCGGUGAAAUGCGUAGAUAUUAGGAGGAACACCAGUGGCGAAGGCGGUUUGCUGGACAGCAACUGACGUUGAGGCGCGAAAGCGUGGGGAGCAAACAGGAUUAGAUACCCUUGUAGUC